AAUAUUGCACAAAUGGGGGAAACCCUGAUCCAGCCAUGCCGCGGGGAUUAAGGAAGGCCUUCGGGUUGUAAAAGAUGUUUCAGUGGGGGAGUAUAAUUGAAAGUACCCAGCAAAAAGCGAGCGGGUUAACUUUGUGCCCAGCAGCCGGCGGUAAGUACAAAGGGGUCCAAGCGUUUUUUGGAAAUUACUGGGGCUAAAGCGGAGGGUAGGUGGUGUGACAAGUCGAAUUGUGAAAUCUCGAGGCUCAACCGGGAGGGUGCGGUUGAAACUGUCGGUGUGGAGUCGGGGAGGGGAGAGUGGAAUUGGUGGGGUAGCGGUGAAAGGGGUAGAUAUCAGGAGGAACAUCGGUGGGGAAGGCGGCUCUCUGGAUUGUGACUGACGCUGAGACUGGAAAGGGGGGGGAGCUGGCAGGAUUAGAUACCAUGGUAGUCCACGCCGUA
rnacentral:rRNA from 1 species